rnacentral:rRNA from 1 species
CUACGGGAGGCUCCAGUGGGGAAUAUUGGACAAUGGGGGAAACCCUGAUGCAGCAACGCCGCGUGGAGGAUGACGCAUUUCGGUGUGUAAACUCCUUUUAUGAGUCAAGAAAAUGACGGUAGCUCAUGAAUAAGCACCGGCUAACUCCGUGCCAGCAGCCGCGGUAAUACGGAGGGUGCAAGCGUUACUCGGAAUCACUGGGCGUAAAGGACGCGUAGGCGGGAUGUCAAGUCAGGUGUGAAAUCCUAUGGCUCAACCAUAGAACUGCACUUGAAACUGGCAACCUAGAGUAUGGGAGGGGGAGAUGGAAUUAGUGGUGUAGGGGUAAAAUCCGUAGAUAUCACUAGGAAUACCGAAAGCGAAGGCGAUCUCCUGGAACAUUACUGACGCUAAGGCGUGAAAGCGUGGGGAGCAAACAGGAUUAGAUACCCCCGUAGUC